UAAAUAGCCAGGCCGGCUUUCGCUGGUCGCCGGCUUCUUAGAGGGACUGUCAGCGUCUAGCUGACGGAAGUUUGAGGCAAUAACAGGUCUGUGAUGCCCUUAGAUGUUCUGGGCCGCCCCCG
rnacentral:rRNA from 1 species